CUCUGCUAUUUCAUCAGUUUGUCUAGUUAUGGUGCUAGCCGAAAGAGGAACGUGUGCCACCUUUUGAACUGCAGCCUCUCCUAAAAGUUCACGACAAAUGUCCUUACCAGCAGGCAGGAUCAACUCUUCAGCAAUAGUAAAGGGCUUCUUAGCUUUAGCAAUGCGGUUAGCCACUAAGAAUGAUGUUCUCAGUGCAGACACAUUUGAUGAAGGGGUGACCUUCAAUAAUUGCUUCUGUUCUUUGUGUUCAUGUUUUUUUUCUUUUGGAAAACUCCGAAAACGUGUCUUUUAAUGCAGGGUGCUUGGUCUCCAUGUGGCGAAGCAAUUUUGAAGGUUUCAUGGCUUCGUUGGAUAGCCGGUCGCCACAUAUUACACAAAGCGGGCUUGGAGAAUGUGAAUCACCUGUUGCACUGAACGUGUAAUUUAAGUAGGACUCCUGGUAUUUUCUUUCAAAUGCAGCUUUCUUUGGGUUGGCAGUCUUAGAGUCUUCUGCUGUCUCAUCAUUGGGUCAUUUCCCUUUUUCAAAGAAGCUCUCCAGCAACGUUUGUUUUUUACUCAUUUUGUCUCGGGUUAGCCCGUGGGCUUACCAAAACCGUGACUGAGACAAGUGUGCAGUGCGGGAAAGCGGCGCAGACGAAGUGGUAAAGAAAAUAAUGGGCGGGCUACUCGCGGACUAAAAUAAGUGUUGGAUUCUGACUUAAACCUGCCACCAGAGGCAGCUUGUGACUUGCCACUCACUGAUAGCGUUUUGGUAUGAGUCUGCAACCAAUUGAUUUCUUAUGGUUUCUGUGCAGUCAAACCUCUCUGCUAAUGAUUAUCUGUAUUUGCAGCCGCUCCCCAGCACUAGCGUCACCGCCUCAGAUCAUCAGGCAUUAGAUUCUCAUAAGGAGCGGGCAACCUAGAUCCCUCGCACGUGCAGUUCACAGUAGGGUUCACGCUCCUGAGAGAAUCUAAUGUCCCCGCUGAUCUGACAGGAGGUGGAGCUCAGAUGGUAAUGUGAGCGAUGGGGAGCGGCUGUAAAUACAGAUGACGCUUAGCUUGCUUGCCCACCACUCACCUCCUGCUAUGAGGCCCAGUUCCUAACAGGCCAGAGCCUGGUACCUUCCGAGGCCUGGGGGUUGGGGACCCCUGCUUUACUGCUUCAUUGUUGCUGCUUGAACUGUGCCUGGUACACAGCAGGCAUUCUGUGUACAUAAUCAUAGAUUUGGGGGAUGGGCAGACAUCUUGGGGAGCUUGUGGAACUUGGGGCUGGAGCUGAUAUCUGGGCUAUACAUCAAACAAGUCACUUCUAUUAAGAAGGAAAAAUCAUGGUUUAUAAUCUUGAGGUGCCGCUGGGCCUUCUGGAGCCAGCACCCCCAGCGUGGCUUUCCCUGGCAUGGCUCUCCCUGGUGUGGCUCUCUCCCCAGCAUGGCUGGAGGUUGGGAGCUCUUCCUCUCCUCCCUCACCUCCUCCUCGGGCAGUGGGUGUGCCCUGAGCUCCACGUUGUUUCCUUCCCCUGGACCUUCCCACCCCCUCUACCUCCUCUGCCAUCAUCAUUCCCUCCUCUCCUGCUUUGCUUGAGCUCCCGUUCGGCCUUCAAAGCCUGGCCAUGAAUGACCCUUGUGACCUCACCCGAGUGGCUAACACAUCCCUCUUCGUGCCGUGCCCUCAUUCUGAAUCUUUGUCUAUAAAACUGCUCUGAGUGAUAUAAUUUCACCACAACUAAGGGGGCAAGUCACACGUUAAGUCGAGUUUCUGGUCUGGGAUGAUUUGAAGAAGAGGAAGGUCCUGGGGAGGGGACACGGGCCAGCGGACGUGUGAGGGCUGGUAGAGGGUCACAGAGCACACUCGCUCACGUCCCCCUUCAGCCAGGCUGGGCUCCUUUCAGGAGUCCAGUGACCAGGAAACCCUCCCAGCAGCAGAGAACAUCCUUUCUCCUGGUGGCACAGACAAGCUGGAUCUCAACGAGCAGCGGGUGUGCGGGCAUCUGUUGGAAACACAGACCCCCUGCAAGACGUCCUCCCGGCUUCAGGACGGUGUUGGAGCUUGACUGAAAAGGGAUGCGUUGUGUAGAUUCUGAGUGUGAGCUCAGUACGGUGAGCAGGGGCUGCUGUGAAGGAUACUUACCCUAUAAGUGAUAACCAUGCUACCAACAACGGCAGUUAGCCAUGAAGCGUCUCUUGGUACCAAGCACAAUAGGCGGGUUCCUUAACCGUCCCAGUGUGCCGAGGGGCCACACCAAGUCACCACGAGCCAUCCCAGCCUCGCAGGCAUGGUCAGAACAGCUGUCAGGGCAGCCUCAUGAGUAAGCAGCUCGAGGGACAUUUUGAGCCGGAGGGGAGGCGAGCCGUCCUGCAAACCUGGCUUCUGAAACGCGAGGGGGUUUAACCCUCCUCCUGAACUGGGCCCUGGUGACCGACCACAGGUGGAAUCCCAUUUUCCUUCUCUUUCCUUUUUCCUUUAACACAUGCGUGGGGGACAGCUCACGGGGCCUUUUUGGUCUGGGAAUGCUCUCCACCCCAUCAGCUGUUUGCAGCUGCUGCAUCGUCCUCCUCUGGGAAUGAGGGGUUGUCCUCUGUCACCCUCAGGAUAGGCUCCGCAAACAAGGGCCUCUCCCGUCCAGAAAAGGUGAAGGGGCUGCCCCAGCUCCCGAGUGCCUGAUGGCUCUCCGGGUCCCGAGCAGGGCCUGGUCUGGGUCUCCUGGGUGGCUGACCUUCAGGAUGGCACUUGGCAGGGCUGUCCCCCAACCCCCAAGGCAGCGAUGAAGCCUCUGCACUCAGUGUGUGGUCCAGGCCUGGAGAGAGACACCGAGGAAGGGGCCGGGGUGGCGGGGGGGAGGAGACGGCCGCUCCCAGAGUCCCACACACCAACCGCCCACAGCUGCCGUGGUCCUGUUCCUGUCUUCUGACCCUCACAGCGACCUGGCCACUCCCUUGGAAAGGUUUGUCCAGGCAGUUGCCAACAUCCAGGACAGAGACUCUGGGGACCCCACCUCUAGAGCAGCCCAAGUGUAGUUUUAUCUGGAAAGGAAAGAAUAAAAUGGGAAAAACGGAGCAGCUCCCCUGUUGUUGGCUUGUGACAGUUCCCAUCCCUGGGCUGCUCACAGCCUCAGGCCGUCACCUCUGAGGGCUCCUGUGUCCUUGGAGAGAGUCCGACAGCUCACGGCUGUCGUCUGUUCCUCUGUGGCAUCGUUCAUCCAGACCUUCUGCUCCUCUUGGCUGUGGGUGUGGUGUUACUCAGAAGAGGACACCUCUGGUGUGUGCAGGGGAAGAUCUGACCCCAAGCACCACCGUGGAAGUUCUUGUCUGUGCCCAGAAGCAGGCUCUGUGUGGAACAGACACUUCUUUCGGGGGGCUGGGCUUGUUACCUACGGUCCACCUGGCCCAGGUCCAGGCAUAAAUGUGGUUUCGUGCCCACAGGUGGGGAGGGUGGAGGAGGACCUUCCUGGAAGCCUUGCGGACAGAGCUUUUGGAAUCCCAGCGCUCUCACCUGCGGGCGUUCGGCUGCUUUCAUGUUGCCUCCGUUUCUACAUCUGGAAAGUGGAUGCGUUAUUCCCUGUUUCACGGUGAAGAUGGAAUGAAAUUGUGGCUGUAGAUGUUGGCUCUAGAAUAUCCUAGGAAAGUCUUCCUAAGAGAAAAAUAAAAUAUUUAUGUACAAGAAUGUUCACCAAAAAGUGAUUUCUUAGAGGGAAUAAUCAGAAACAACCUGAAUGUUUAGGGCAUUUGUUCAUGCAUUUAUAGGGUACCAGGAUGUGGUCUCUUCAGAUGAUGGUGCAGGUAUAUUUUCAAUGACACGAAAGGGUGUACACAAGAGAUUAUACAUUUAAAAAAUACAGGUUAUUGAACCUUUUCUUUAGAACGGUCUUGGGUCGGGGGUCCGUGUUAGUCACGCUCAUCACUGUUUUCCUACCCACAACUCCCCAUGGAGAGCCUCCCGUGGCCCGUGGCCCGUGGCCCAUGGCCUGCUUUGUGUCAGGGACCAGGAGAGGAUGGCUGAACCAAGCUGAGCCAACCAGAUUCGUUCUUUUGGGAACACAAACCGAGUCCUGGAAAGCAGACAGCUCUGAGCCCAAGUGCUGUUGAUGUAACCACUGGGGAGGGAAGCAUGUGGGUCAGAAGCCAACCAAGGGAGUCACCUGUUGCAGGGAGACUGGACUGGGGGCUAGAGAGGGAGGGCCCCUGGCCCCUGGGAACGAGCAAGAGAGACAGAGAGAGCUCCAGAAUGGCCACCAUCAUGGAGUUCAGCUGUGUCCCCUCCCCCUUGUCACCCAUAGAUGCCUCUCUGUCCGGCUCAGAAUAUUCCUUUGUGCUGGACAUAAUUUCCAUUCUUUGCACCCAAAUGACGGCUGACAAGGCAAUGCUCUGUGAACACGUGGUUAAGACGCUUAUUUCCGGGUAGAGGUAGUUCAGAUAUUUAUUUUUCUAAAGUUCUCAGUAUUUUCUAUUUUUUCUACAACGAUCAUUCAUGUAUUAAUUGUUAAAAAAAGAAAUGGAAAGGGCAUCCACUUUGAAAACAGACUGGCAGCUUUUUAUAAAGUUAAACUUGAACUUACCAGCAAUUCCACUCUGAGGUACUUACCUAAGAGAGACGGCAACCUAGAGCCACACAAACACCUAACUCGAACGUCCACACCAGCUUCCUCCACGACGGCCCCGGACCGCACCAGCCCCGGAUGCCUUUGGACAAAAAACCCAGCUGUGGUCCAUUGUACAGCGGGACACGACUCAGCAAUAAAAAGGAAUGACCUGGCGAGGGAGGCAACACCUAAAGCAGGCAGACCCGAAGGAAAACUGUGAAAUUUGGGAUUCCAUUUCUUCUUUAAAAUACAAAUAGUGGCAAAGGCAAAUCUUGGACACUCAUGCAAUGUGCUUGUCCCCAGUUUUUCGACACCACUGCUACGUACCGUCCCCAGAUGUUGGCACCAGUACAAAGAUAACAUCUGUACAUAAUGGCCUGCCUCGGGGGACCCUGCCCCUCUGCCUGAAUGUUGAACCAAAGUGCCUUUGUCCAGGCAAACAUCCGGACCCUGUUCCACCUGCCGAUGGCUGCAAGAAAGAAGAAACUAACACAUCCCCUCCCCAAGGCUGGCCAUUCCGGUGAUAUUUGCAAAACUUAUGGCCUUUUUACUUUACUUCCUCAUCUCCUCCCCCUCUCUGUGCUAUAAAAGAAACUGGCAUCCAAACCCCGAUAAGAUGGUUAUUUUGAGACUUUAGUCCGCCAUCUUCUCCGUCUGCCGGCUUUCCGAAUAAAGUCGUAUUCCUUUGCUUCA